CCUACGGGAGGCAGCAGUGGGGAAUAUUGGACAAUGGGCGAAAGCCUGAUCCAGCAAUGCCGCGUGAGUGAUGAAGGCCUUAGGGUUGUAAAGCUCUUUUACCAGGGAUGAUAAUGACAGUACCUGGAGAAUAAGCUCCGGCUAACUCCGUGCCAGCAGCCGCGGUAAUACGGAGGGAGCUAGCGUUGUUCGGAAUUACUGGGCGUAAAGCACACGUAGGCGGCUAAUUCAAGUCAGAGGUGAAAGCCCAGGGCUCAACCCUGGAACCUGCCUUUGAAACUAGAUAGCUGGAAUCUUGGAGAGGUCAGUGGAAUUCCGAGGUGUAGAGGUGAAAUUCGUAGAUAUUCGGAAGAACACCAGUGGCGAAGGCGACUGACUGGACAAGUAUUGACGCUGAGGUGCGAAAGCGUGGGGAGCAAACAGGAUUAGGAUACCCUGGUAGUCCACGCCGUAAACGAUGAUAACCUAGCUGUCCGGACACUUGGUGUUUGGGUGGCGNNGCUACGCAUUAGUUAUCCGCCGUGGGAGGUACGGUCGCGAGAGUUAAACGUUAAAGGUAAGUUAGACGGACGUGAGACGUGCCGACGGCGACGACGAGGGAGGUAGGG
rnacentral:rRNA from 1 species